CUAGCUUAAACAUAUCUAAACUUUCACUGCUUCAGGUUUUCUAUAAAAAUAAGCACUCAAAAUCCCAACAUUCUUAUCCUCAAAAUGAUAUCCCCAAUAAUUCAAAUUAUGGCUCUUUUCUUGUUUAUGGCUCUUCUCAUUUCUGCCCAAGUUGCAGACGCUCGACAACUCAAUCCACUGCUGUCAAAAGAGGAAGAUAAGAACAAGAAGAGAGGUGCAGAUUUUGAGUGCCCCAAAGGGUGCUGCCGAGGUGUAGCCAGACCAUAUUGCCGCUGCUGCUCUUAAAGAUGUUUUUGUAUUUCUCCAUCUGUCCCACUGUUCCUCUCACUUUUAUGUUUUUAAUUUUUUUCGAAAGUUUUCUAAUUUGAAGAUAAAGCAUAGUUUCAAUGAUA